rnacentral:ncRNA from 1 species
CACUCUCGCUGCGGGAGCUUGAUGUGGGAAAUGAUAUGCUGAGAGUUUUAAAGUCCGUAGUAUUUGGGUGGACUUUGUAUCGACCGUUCGAACCUGCUCAUGGUAAUGCAUGCGAAAGGGAAUGUGGGAUGUGCAAUGG